AAAUACCAAGUUAUAUUAUGAGUACCGACUUGUGGUGAGGUGUUUUCCUCUAUGUUUUCAAAAGGUUAGUAAUUUCUUCUUUUGAGUCUUCUUCUUCUUCUUCUUUUUCUUCUUCUUCUUCUUUCAAGAGGCUUUGAUUGUGAUGGGGAACAACCCAAAACGGUUCAUCGGCCCAAGUUGGGUCACUGACCUUGCUACUCAGCUGCCUUGUUAGGCUGGUAAUGACUUGAUGGAUCCUCGUGUAAUCAAGCAUAUCACACAGUACCGAGGCUCAUCCUCGGUUGAUGCCUUUGUGUCGGAGUGCCUAUGUUAAACCUGGAAUCACCUUUAGUUGUUGUUACAACCCACUGUUGUAGCGUCUUUGAAAACGUUUGUCACGAUCGAGUCAAAAGUUCAUUUAUAUUUAUUCGUAUGUUUUUACCGACCUCCACGUAAGUUCACCUUUUGAAAAAUUUGCAAUUGGAGUUUUUAGGGUUCUCAAUGUGGCUCUGACACCCAACUUCAUUCCAAUUCAUGGGUUGUCUUACAAGUCUUUUGGCUUAUUUGUGAUUUAUUUAUAUUGAAGUUGUCCCCUCAUUCUUUUCUCUUUUAUUACAAUUCUUGUCCGACCAAUCUCGUGGGCUGGCUUUCUUUGUCUAAUCGAUCAUGCAGUAUCCUUUUUGCCCUUUUUAC
rnacentral:lncRNA from 1 species